GUCAGGUGUGGUGGCUAUAUAUACCUGUAGUCUCUGUUGUUGGGGACACUGAGGCUAGUGGAUCUUUUGAACUGGAAAGGUCUGAGCUUCAAAAGGGCUAAAGACAUUCAUUUAUCUGCUCUAAGCCUGAUGUCAACAUGAUGAGCCUCUGGGAAGAGAAGGAGGGGCAUCAGGAUGAUUAAGGAGAGGUGGAUUGGCCCAGGUUGGAAACAGAGCAGGUCAAAGCAACUGUGUCAAACAGCAGGGUAAUCAGGCCUGUGUGUAGCCACUGCACUUUUUGCCUGGGUAAGAUAGGGAAACUCAAUCUCA
rnacentral:SRP_RNA from 1 species